GGACCAAGGAGUCUAGCAUGUGCGCGAGUCAUUGGGACUCUAACUAAACCUAAAGGCGCAAUGAAAGUGAAGGUCCGCCGUGCGCGGACCGAGGGAGGAUGGACGGUCCCGAGGGGCCGCCCCGCACUCCCGGGGCGUCUCAAUCUCACAUUCGUGAAGAGGCGCACCCAGAGCGUACACGCUGGGACCCGAAAGAUGGUGAACUAUGCCUGGUCAGGACGAAGUCAGGGGAAACCCUGAUGGAGGUCCGUAGCGAUUCUGACGUGCAAAUCGAUCGUCGGAACUGGGUAUAGGGGCGAAAGACUAAUCGAACCAUCUAGUAGCUGGUUCCCUCCGAAGUUUCCCUCAGGAUAGCUGGCGCUCGCUUCUCGCGAGUCUCAUUCGGUAAAGCGAAUGAUUAGAGGCAUUGGGGUCGAAACGGCCUCAACCUAUUCUCAAACUUUAAAUGGGUGAGAUCUCCGGCUUGCUUGAACUGUGAAGCCGCGAGAUAUCGGAUCAGAGUGCCAAGUGGGCCACUUUUGGUAAGCAGAACUGGCGCUGUGGGAUGAACCAAACGCCGAGUUAAAGCGCCUAAAUCGACGCUUAUGGGAUACCAUGAAAGGCGUUGGUAACUUAAGACAGCAGGACGGUGGCCAUGGAAGUCGGA
rnacentral:rRNA from 1 species